CACGUAGGGGGCGAGCGUUGUCCGGAUUUAUUGGGCGUAAAGGGCUCGUAGGCGGCUCAGUAAGUCGGGUGUGAAACCUCCAGGCUCAACCUGGAGACGCCACUCGAUACUGCUGUGGCUAGAGUCCGGUAGGGGAGCAUGGAAUUCCUGGUGUAGCGGUGAAAUGCGCAGAUAUCAGGAGGAACACCAGUGGCGAAGGCGGUGCUCUGGGCCGGAACUGACGCUGAUGAGCGAAAGCGUGGGGAGCAAGCAGG
rnacentral:rRNA from 1 species